CCUACGGGGGGCUGCAGUGGGGAAUAUUGCACAAUGGGCGCAAGCCUGAUGCAGCCAUGCCGCGUGUGUGAAGAAGGCCUUCGGGUUGUAAAGCACUUUCAGCGGGGAGGAAGGCGGUGAGGUUAAUAACCUCAUCGAUUGACGUUACCCGCAGAAGAAGCACCGGCUAACUCCGUGCCAGCAGCCGCGGUAAUACGGAGGGUGCAAGCGUUAAUCGGAAUUACUGGGCGUAAAGCGCACGCAGGCGGUCUGUCAAGUAGGAUGUGAAAUCCCCGGGCUCAACCUGGGAACUGCAUUCGAAACUGGCAGGCUAGAGUCUUGUAGAGGGGGGUAGAAUUCCAGGUGUAGCGGUGAAAUGCGUAGAGAUCUGGAGGAAUACCGGUGGCGAAGGCGGCCCCCUGGACAAAGACUGACGCUCAGGUGCGAAAGCGUGGGGAGCAAACAGGAUUAGAUACCCUUGUAGUC
rnacentral:rRNA from 1 species